rnacentral:rRNA from 1 species
GAUGAACGCUGGCGGCGUGCUUAACACAUGCAAGUCGAACGAUGAAGCCUAGCUUGCUGGGUGGAUUAGUGGCGAACGGGUGAGUAACACGUGAGUAACCUGCCCUUGACUCUGGGAUAAGCCUGGGAAACUGGGUCUAAUACUGGAUAUGACUGCUCCGCGCAUGCGGUGGUGGUGGAAAGCUUUUGCGGUUUUGGAUGGACUCGCGGCCUAUCAGCUUGUUGGUGGGGUAAUGGCCUACCAAGGCGACGACGGGUAGCCGGCCUGAGAGGGUGACCGGCCACACUGGGACUGAGACACGGCCCAGACUCCUACGGGAGGCAGCGGUGGGGAAUAUUGCACAAUGGGCGCAAGCCUGAUGCAGCGACGCCGCGUGAGGGAUGACGGCCUUCGGGUUGUAAACCUCUUUCAGUAGGGAAGAAGCUUUCGGGUGACGGUACCUGCAGAAGAAGCGCCGGCUAACUACGUGCCAGCAGCCGCGGUAAUAC